rnacentral:lncRNA from 1 species
AGUGUACUUUUGCUUUUUUUGUUGUUUUUUAGAGAAGGGGUCUCACUAUGUUGUCUGGAGUGCUGUGGUGGAGUGGAGUGGCUAUUCACAGAGCCUGUUCUGCUGGGACACAGAAUCACUUGCUCCAUCUCAUACAUUGAUGAUGAUUAAUUUGUAUGUGUACCUUCCAAAAAAGAUGGUUGUGUUUGAAUGGAGGCCUUCUGGACAGGAAAAUUGCAAAGUACAAUUAACAUUUGAGUCUGUCUGAGUCAUGAAGAAAUGGAGAUUACUGAAAAUAAUUCAUUUUGGUAUCUUCUUACAUCCUGAGAGACUAAUCUUUCCAAGUUCAUCUGAGGCUCCUCUUCUCCAUGACAACCUCAUCCAGGGAUUUCUUCCUGUCCUGGUGUUUUAUGACAUAAUCACAUCCUUCCUGAGAUAAUGAGCACACAAUUGCCUGGAUACCUGAAGGAAUGGAGACAGCGGCAGAAAACACUGCAGAGAGGUGGAAACAUCCGUUAAUAUUUUAAAAUCCCAUUACUGCUACCAACAAUAAUAAUGGAUGCAUAGAAAUAGAUCUGGAUUAGCUGAGCUUGAAACAGUCCAUCUCACACACACACAAAAGAAUUUCAGAUACAGUGAACCCACAUGUUGAAGCUUUCUAGUAUAAUAAAAAUUUCAACUGUUCUGUUGAAUCAUCUGCCUGAUUGGAGGCUACAGAAAAGAUGUCAUCUUAGGAGUGCUUGCUCUGAGUGAGGCUCAUCUUCAAAUCUGAAUGACCACAAGGAGAUUUGAUUAUACAUGUGAACACCUCAGAAGGCACAGCCCACCCAGAAGGCAGACAGGUCAGGCUGCUUUUUCUUCAUUGCUUGGAUUCAAUCCUCCGGGCGGCUCAGGCUCAAACAUAACUUAAGCAUGAUUAAACUUUAGAAGAAGCUGCCAGGAAGACUGUGAAAUCUUCAUGCCCAAGGAUCCCUAAAAUUAGGAGCAACAACCACUUGGCUCAGACGGUUUAUGGAGGCAAAGGUUUGGAUGGGAUUAGAGAUUUCUAAAUGUGAGUUCGUGUCCUCUGCCAGACCACCUUACUUCCACCAUUCCUCAGCAAAUCAAGAAAAACAGGAGAAAAGACAUGCCUUUCCAUAAGUUAAAUCUAUUCUGUUUUAAUUCUAUAUUAUAUCUGCUGUACAACUUCUUUUGUUUGUAACACCAUAUUGUUGCUAGUAACUGGAAAUUAAUUUUCACAUGCCUCAGCUUAGAAAAAUAAAAAGCAGCCCUGCA